rfam:Triticum aestivum genome assembly, contig: Triticum_aestivum_CS42_TGACv1_scaffold_161775_2DL
CAUAUACUCCCUCCGUCCAGAAAUACUUGUCAUCAAAAUGAAUAAAAGGAGAUGUAUCUAGAUGUAUUUUAGUUCUAGAUACAUCCCUUUUAGUUCAUUUUGAUGACAAGUAUUUUCAGACGGAGGGAGUACUUU